rnacentral:tRNA from 1 species
GGGGGUAUAGCUCAGUGGUAGAGCACGUGCUUAGCAUCCACAAGGUCCUGGGUCCAAUCCCCGGUACCUCCA